GGUUUGUUCUUUGGCAACAACUCAUCCAGAGUCUCUCCUCUUCUUCACGGCAUUCAGAGGUAUCUUAUGCUAGGUUUUGGACCUUGGUUACGAAGUGGGUAAUGGACAAGUACAACGUCCCCACUGUCGCCGGUGCACCGAUGUCUUCGAUUGGUACCUUUCAUACCACGAAGACCAUCGUCUCAGAUGCUUCCAAAUUCCCCUUUAAUGGUUCCAUUCUGGAAUCCAUGUAUGCUGACGUUCCAGCUGACAGCCGGAUUAUCAGAACAUACAAAGAGUUCAAACGUUNNNNNNNCGUCCCCAUUGUCGCCGGUGCUCCGAUGUCUUCGAUUGGUACAUUUCAUACCACGAAGAUCAUCGUCUCAGAUGCUUCCAAAUUUCCCUUCAAUGGUUCCAUUCCGGAAUCUAUGUAUGCUGACGUUCCAGCUGACAGCCGGAUUAUCAGAACCUACAAAGAAUUCAAGCGUUCUGGUCCGAGGGAUCUCACACCGGAGAUGUUGAAGUCGAUCCAUGACGCCGACAAGCCUGCUCCAAGAGGCAAGAAGGCUGACAAAGGGAAACAGGUGGCGAAAGGGGCUAAA
rnacentral:lncRNA from 1 species